UACGGAGGGUGCAAGCGUUGUCCGGAAUCACUGGGCGUAAAGGGCGCGUAGGCGGCUCAUGAAGGCUGUGGUGAAAGUCCGGGGCUCAACCUCGGAUCGGCCGUGGCGACUCGUGGGCUGGAGCACUGUAGAGGCGGGUGGAAUUCCGGGGUGUAGCGGUGGAAUGCGUAGAGAUCCGGAAAGAACACCAGAGGCGAAAGGCGGCCUACUGGGCCUGCACCUGACGCUGAGCCGCGAAAGCCAGGGGAGCGAACGGG
rnacentral:rRNA from 1 species